AUUGAACGAUGGCGGCAGGCCUAACACAUGCAAGUCGAGCGGAUGAAGGGAGCUUGCUCCUGGAUUCAGCGGCGGACGGGUGAGUAAUGCCUAGGAAUCUGCCUGGUAGUGGGGGAUAACGUCCGGAAACGGGCGCUAAUACCGCAUACGUCCUGAGGGAGAAAGUGGGGGAUCUUCGGACCUCACGCUAUCAGAUGAGCCUAGGUCGGAUUAGCUAGUUGGUGGGGUAAAGGCCUACCAAGGCGACGAUCCGUAACUGGUCUGAGAGGAUGAUCAGUCACACUGGAACUGAGACACGGUCCAGACUCCUACGGGAGGCAGCAGUGGGGAAUAUUGGACAAUGGGCGAAAGCCUGAUCCAGCCAUGCCGCGUGUGUGAAGAAGGUCUUCGGAUUGUAAAGCACUUUAAGUUGGGAGGAAGGGCAGUAAGUUAAUACCUUGCUGUUUUGACGUUACCAACAGAAUAAGCACCGGCUAACUUCGUG
rnacentral:rRNA from 1 species